GACGUAGGGCGCGAGCGUUGUCCGGAUUUAUUGGGCGUAAAGAGCUCGUAGGCGGUUUGUCGCGUCGGCUGUGAAAACUCGGGGCUCAACCCCGAGCCUGCAGUCGAUACGGGCAAACUUGAGUGCGGUAGGGGGAGACUGGAAUUCCAGGUGUAGCGGUGAAAUGCGUAGAUAUCUGGAGGAACACCGGUGGCGAAGGCGGCCAACUGGACGAGUACUGACGCUGAGACACGAAAGCGUGGGGAGCAAACAGG
rnacentral:rRNA from 1 species